CGUAGGGUGCGAGCGUUAAUCGGAAUUACUGGGCGUAAAGCGUGCGCAGGCGGUUUUGUAAGACAGGUGUGAAAUCCCCGGGCUCAACCUGGGACCUGCAUUUGUGACUGCAAGGCUAGAGUACGGUAGAGGGGGAUGGAAUUCCGCGUGUAGCAGUGAAAUGCGUAGAUAUGCGGAGGAACACCGAUGGCGAAGGCAAUCCCCUGGACCUGUACUGACGCUCAUGCACGAAAGCGUGGGGAGCAAACAGGAUUAGAUACCCUGGUAGUCCACGCCCUAAACGAUGUCAACUGGUUGUUGGGUCUUUACUGACUCAGUAACGAAGCUAACGCGUGAAGUUGACCGCCUGGGGAGUACGGCCGCAAGGUUG
rnacentral:rRNA from 1 species